rnacentral:tRNA from 1 species
GGAGGUACGUCUCGUCUGGUGACGGGCCUGGUCUUCAAAACCAGUCGAACUGCCGUGGGAACGGUGGUUGGUGGGUUCGAUUCCCAUGUACCUCCGCCA